rnacentral:rRNA from 1 species
UACGGAGGAUCCGAGCGUUAUCCGGAUUUAUUGGGUUUAAAGGGUGCGCAGGCGGGAAAUUAAGUCGGCGGUGAAAUUUUGCGGCUCAACCGUAAAAGUGCCUUCGAUACUGGUUUUCUUGAGUGUAGAUGAAGUAGGCGGAAUUUGUGGUGUAGCGGUGAAAUGCUUAGAUAUCACGAGGAACUCCGAUUGCGCAGGCAGCUUACUAAACUACUACUGACGCUCAGGCACGAAGGCGUGGGGAUCAAACAGGAUUAGAUACCCUGGUAGUCCCUGA